rnacentral:tRNA from 1 species
GGGGUUGUGGCUCAGUGGAAGAGUUUCUGCUUUAUAUGCAGAAGGCCCCAAGUGUAAUCCUUAACAUCUCUA